rnacentral:rRNA from 1 species
GGAAUAUUGCACAAUGGGCGAAAGCCUGAUGCAGCAACGCCGCGUGCGGGAUGACGGCCUUCGGGUUGUAAACCGCUUUCACCCAUGACGAAGCGAGAGUGACGGUAGUGGGAGAAGAAGCACCGGCCAACUACGUGCCAGCAGCCGCGGUGAUACGUAGGGUGCGAGCGUUGUCCGGAAUUAUUGGGCGUAAAGGGCUUGUAGGCGGUCUGUCGCGUCGGAAGUGAAAACUCGAAGCUUAACUUCGAGCCUGCUUCCGAUACGGGCAGACUAGAGGGAUGCAGGGGAGAACGGAAUUCCUGGUGGAGCGGUGGAAUGCGCAGAUAUCAGGAGGAACACCGGUGGCGAAGGCGGUUCUCUGGGCAUUACCUGACGCUGAGAAGCGAAAGCGUGGGGAGCAAACA